rnacentral:misc_RNA from 1 species
AGGCUUAGUUAUUAUUGUUAUUGUUGUUGCCAGUUUUUGACAUAUUAGAUGCAAGGGCGGUCUGGUAUAAUGGUAAAAACCUUUGACUUGCAAGAUUUGCAACCAGGAGGCUGCAGGUUUAAGGCCUCAAACUAACCACUUUAUAAAAAAUAUUGGAGAAGAUGGUGUCUGGAUCCUUUCACAAUAUAUGGCUUUGGCUUUUUAUAGGAUCAUUGAAUGACACCAUUUUCUUUUUGUAAUUAAUAGUUGAACGGCUGAAAUCCUAUAUUAUGUUUUCACAAUUCAUAGGAAGGCACAGGUACUUAAGUUUUGCUGGUUUCUGCCAUCUCCCUUCCCUUUCUAGCUCCAUAACAGACUUGUAUUUAGAUGCGAGCAUAUCCCAAGUAGUUAAGCUAAAAAGUAAGUUUGUGAUUCUAUCUUGUGGUUAAUCUUUUGAUCUAGCGCACCUUAUUUAGUUUAUGCUGCUCUUGAGCUUUUCCAAUCCAUUUUGUUGAUUUUUUUCCCUAAAUGAAUCAAUGACAGUAUCAGUACUGGACUUGUUAAUUUCCCAUGGGCUCCUUUUUUUUUCUCUUAGCCAACAUUCCUAAUGGGUAUGAACCUGGUG